GAUGCGCCAGAGCGAAAAAAAGCCCUUUUUUAUUAUCCCGGUCAGCUCAUUUUGUACAGAGGUGAAGAUGACGAUUCCGUGAAGAAGUAAUGGCUGACGUUGUCGAACAUUCAGACCCACUGGAGGCGUUUCACAGCCUGGAGCCCGCCGAUAAGGAAUUCGAUGUGACUUGAUGGACUUGCAUCCACAGCCUUUUGUGAGGCCUGUGACAGGCUGUCUGACUGCUGCAAGAUGUUUGUCAGAGCCCCACACCAUGACUAGGUCAUUGGUUCUUCACAAUCCCUACCUUGAAGAGGUAUUAUGGCCAGCCGUUACUCCCCGUCGAGAAAAGAUCCCUGCAAGCGUACUUGACUGGCUGUAUGCGUCUAAUACGUCUGCAAGCACCAACUGAAGUGGGUGCUGCACGUAAUCAUUACCCACAGCAGUGGUGUCGGUCAGUGGUGUAACUACCUUCCUCAACAAUCACCAGCUGCUGGCUUGUGACAGUUUUGACGAAAAUUAGUCGGUCUCUCUCAUUCCGUUAUCCCUUUGUCGACUCUGAGGAGAUGCUCGACAACCACAUAAUUUGGUACUUCCCGUACAGCCUAGUAUUUGCUUCCUACACCAGCCACA